GGGGAUGUCCGGUUUCGACGGGGGCUGUAGACAUCUCGGGAGCCAUCCGCAGGCUGGGCUGCGUCAUCAACCGGACUUAAAUAUAAACGCUAACAACGAAAACAACGCUCUUGCGUUCGCAGCCUGAUGGCUGUCAUCCGCCCUUAAGGUUCCUGCGCCUUAGGAUACGGGUGUCAUAGUAAGGCAGGGAACUUUCCGCCCUAAGCUUUGCGGGCGGAUCAGAUCCAUGAAGCUACCCGGUCUCUUAUCCUGUCGUUGGGAGACCAGGCCGGGGAAUAUAAAACAGCGACUAUGAUGGUAGCUGGCCUGGGAUCGAAGGGCUUUCGGACAGGAGUUCGAUUCUCCUCAUCUCCAU
rnacentral:tmRNA from 1 species